rnacentral:rRNA from 1 species
UAGGGAAUCUUCCGCAAUGGGCGAAAGCCGGACGGAGCAACGCCGCGUGAGUGAUGAAGGUCUUCGGAUCGUAAAACUCUGUUAUUAGGGAAGAACAAAUGUGUAAGUAACUAUGCACGUCUUGACGGUACCUAAUCAGAAAGCCACGGCUAACUACGUGCCAGCAGCCGCGGUAAUACGUAGGUGGCAAGCGUUAUCCGGAAUUAUUGGGCGUAAAGCGCGCGUAGGCGGUUUUUUAAGUCUGAUGUGAAAGCCCACGGCUCAACCGUGGAGGGUCAUUGGAAACUGGAAAACUUGAGUGCAGAAGAGGAAAGUGGAAUUCCAUGUGUAGCGGUGAAAUGCGCAGAGAUAUGGAGGAACACCAGUGGCGAAGGCGACUUUCUGGUCUGUAACUGACGCUGAUGUGCGAAAGCGUGGGGAUCAAACAGG